rnacentral:rRNA from 1 species
UGCCUACGGGAGGCAGCAGUGGGGAAUAUUGCACAAUGGGGGAAACCCUGAUGCAGCAACGCCGCGUGAAGGAAGACGGUUUUCGGAUUGUAAACUUCUGUUCUUAGUGAAGAAGAAUGACGGUAGCUAAGGAGCAAGCCACGGCUAACUACGUGCCAGCAGCCGCGGUAAUACGUAGGUGGCAAGCGUUGUCCGGAAUUACUGGGUGUAAAGGGAGCGUAGGCGGGACGGCAAGUCAGAUGUGAAAACUGAGGGCUCAACCUUCAGACUGCAUUUGAAACUGCUGUUCUUGAGUGCAGUAGAGG